CGCCAGACUCCUACGGGAGGCAGCAGUGGGGAAUAUUGCACAAUGGGGGAAACCCUGAUGCAGCGACGCCGCGUGAGUGAAGAAGUAUUUCGGUAUGUAAAGCUCUAUCAGCAGGGAAGAAAAUGACGGUACCUGAUUAAGAAGCCCCGGCUAACUACGUGCCAGCAGCCGCGGUAAUACGUAGGGGGCAAGCGUUAUCCGGAUUUACUGGGUGUAAAGGGAGCGUAGACGGCAGCGCAAGUCUGAAGUGAAAUGCCGGGGCUUAACCCCGGAACUGCUUUGGAAACUGUGCAGCUAGAGUGCAGGAGAGGUAAGUGGAAUUCCUAGUGUAGCGGUGAAAUGCGUAGAUAUUAGGAAGAACACCAGUGGCGAAGGCGGCUUGCUGGACAGUAACUGACGUUGAGGCUCGAAAGCGUGGGGAGCAAACAGGAUUAGAUACCCGGGUAAA
rnacentral:rRNA from 1 species